rnacentral:rRNA from 1 species
UACGAAGGGGGCUAGCGUUGUUCGGAUUUACUGGGCGUAAAGCGCACGUAGGCGGGUCGAUCAGUCAGGGGUGAAAUCCCAGAGCUCAACUCUGGAACUGCCUUUGAUACUGUCGAUCUGGAGUAUGGAAGAGGUGAGUGGAAUUCCGAGUGUAGAGGUGAAAUUCGUAGAUAUUCGGAGGAACACCGGUGGCGAAGGCGGAUCUCUGGGCCAUUACUGACGCUGAGGAGCGAAAGCGUGGGGAGCGAACAGG